rnacentral:rRNA from 1 species
GUUGACCUCGGAUCAGGUAGGAAUACCCGCUGAACUUAAGCAUAUCAAUAAGCGGAGGAAAAGAAACCAACAGGGAUUGCCCCAGUAACGGCGAGUGAAGCGGCAACAGCUCAAAUUUGAAAUCUGGCCCCAGGCCCGAGUUGUAAUUUGCAGAGGAUGCUUUUGGCGCGGUGCCUUCCGAGUUCCCUGGAACGGGACGCCAUAGAGGGUGAGAGCCCCGUACGGUUGGACACCAAGCCUUUGUAAAGCUCCUUCGACGAGUCGAGUAGUUUGGGAAUGCUGCUCAAAAUGGGAGGUAUAUUUCUUCUAAAGCUAAAUAUUGGCCAGAGACCGAUAGCGCACAAGUAGAGUGAUCGAAAGAUGAAAAGCACUUUGAAAAGAGGGUUAAACAGCACGUGAAAUUGUUGAAAGGGAAGCGCUUGUGACCAGACUUGCGCCCGGUGAAUCACCCAGCUCUCGCGGCUGGGGCACUUUGCCGGCACAGGCCAGCAUCAGCUUGCCGUCGGGGACAAAAGCUUCGGGAACGUAGCUCUCUUCGGGGAGUGUUAUAGCCCGUUGCAUAAUACCCUUCGGCGGGCUGAGGUACGCGCUCCGCAAGGAUGCUGGCGUAAUGGUCAUCAGCGAC